ensembl:lncRNA
CCCCCCACACACACACACACACAGCAACACACACACUCACACUCACUCGCAUACUUACAUACACUCACACACACACAGACACACACGCACACACACACACACACACACACACACACACACACACACACGCACACGCGCACGCACUACGCACACACACACACACUCAGACACUAGUUUUCAAAAUGUACUGUAGUUUACAGCUAUACUGUAGUUUAUAUUCUGUAGUUGAUAUCACUAAUGUAGUUUGUAAACUGUAUUUACAUCUAUACUGCUGUUCACAUACUGUAGUUUACAUCUGUAAUGUAGUUUGCAUACUGUCGUUUACAUAUAUAUAUAUUUAUAUACUGUAGUUUACCUUAUUUAGUUAACUCAUACUGUAGCUAACAUCUGUAAUGUAGUUCAUAUGCUGUGCUUCACAUCUCUACUUUAGCCGUUAACCCGGGCUGCACUUCCCCUGCAGUGGAACACACCAUAGUGGAGUCUUGGAAUGUUACUGCGGUAACAACAACAGCGACUCCGCCUUAAAGCCCCGACGCGCCUUAACACAUCUGUCUGCGUGUGGAGAGUGUGUGGAGCUCCGUGGUACGCUGUGAGUGCGUGAGUCGGUCACACCGCUCCGACCGGCUCUGCAGCACACGCUGCCGUCUUCGGCCGGAUGGGGGACGCUUGUUUUUCUGCUCGCAGUUCUGGAAGAGUUCCAAGCUCUGUUGCAGUGGAAUUAGGAGUGCCUGCAGCAGCCUGGAACCAGCCUGUAUAACGUGACGCUGGACGACAGGAACCAGCCCGUGGAACAAAAAACCGCCCGUAUAACAUUACACAGUCUGUAUAACAUUACACAGUCUGUAUAACAGGAACCAGCCGGUAUAACAUGACACUAGAUAACAGGAACCAGCCGGUAUAACAUGACACUGGAUAACAGGAACCACCACGUAUAACAUGACAGUCUAUAUAACAGGAAACCAGCACGUGUAACAUGACACUAUAACAGGAACCACCAUGUAUAACAUGACACAGUCUGUAUAACAAGACACAGUCUGUAUAACAUAAACCUUCUUGUAUAACAUGACACAGUGUGUACAACAGGAACCAGCCCGUAUAACAUGACACUGGAUAACAGGAACCACCACGUAUAACAUGACAGUCUAUAUUACAGGAACCACCACGUAUACAAUGGCGCAGUCUGUAAAACAUGACACAGUCUGUAAAACAUGACACAGUCUGUAUAACAUGACACAGUCUUUAUAACAUGACAGUCUGUAAAACAUGACACAGUCUGUAUAACAUGACACAGUCUGUAUAACAUGACACAGUCUGUAUAACAUGACACAGUCUGUAUAACAUGAACCUUUUUGUAUAACAAGACACAGUCUGUACAAAAGGAACAACCCUGUAUAACAUGACGCAUCCCGUAUAACAUGACACAUUCUGUAUCACAGGAACUGCAUAGCAGGAACUAGCCCGUAUAACAGGACACAGUCCGUAUAACAGGAAAAAUGGCAACCGUAUACAUGACGUAUAUAAUAUAACAGGAUAUGUCUUAGUUUAAGCCUCGAUGAAGCUUGCUUAUCUGUUGAAUUUUGGAAUCCAAAAACUUAACAGAACUAAAAGAUAUAUGUGUAUUUUAUACAUGUAUACAUCAAUAUUAAUAUACAUAUAAUAAUAUAUAUGGUAUGCAUACGUUAAGUUAUAUAUUAUGAUAAAUAUCAUUAUUAUACGUAAUAGGUUUGGAGUCGCGAGCAAAUGAAAGUGCCACCAGAAUGAAUAAUACAUUGGGGUUCUAAGGACAUAUUUGCUUAUUCGGCAAAUACCUGCAGCUGCUUACUCCCCUCAUACAGACACACACAUGAAGACCUUUAUUUAGUAGGUCAGCGAUAUCGAAGCAUACGCACAAUAUCACACAGAUAACGCACAUACAAGCAUACAGAUACAUACUGUGUCGCCACAUUCACCCAGUGAUGUUAUACACACAAACCCACACACAUACACACACAUAUAUAUACACACACACACACACACACACACAAACACGCACACACACAUACACACACACACAUACAUACACAUAUACACACGCACGUACACAAAGACAUUUAUACACACACACACACAAGCACACACAAAUACACACACGCACACACAAAAACACCCAUACAUACACACACGCGCACACACAGACACACACACACGCCAACACAGUCGCACACACUCAAGCAAAUGCACGUGCAUGGAAUCACACACACACACACACGCACGCACACACACACACACAAAACACCCAUACAUACACACACACAUGCGCACACACACGCCAACACAGUCGCACACACUCAAGCAAAUGCACGUGCAUGGAAUCACACACACGCACACACACACACCCACACACACACUAAGGGUAUAUGUUGGAUCCCUGAGUAGGUGGAAUUUGACUCGAGCAGGAAACCAUCACCACAGCCAUGGGCAUCCUAGAGGUGAG